GCUUCAGGCAUUACGGAUAGCUGUACGUGUCGUUGUGUACUCGCUCUUAUCCGACUUUUAUUCGUGUUCUUUACGAAAAACUAUCAGACAUUUCAGCACCUAAGUGGUGGAAGCGCGUGGUCGCUAUCUUAGUGACUGGAUUUAUAGUGUUGUUACAGUGAGAGUGGUGUGUGGCUCCUCGCACUGCGACCACUCCGUCCGGGGUCUGUCGGCGUCGUCCUCCGGCACUCGAGACAGUCGUCGGAAAGAGGUCGCAUUAAAAAUAUCGUCAAGUACCUACUUGGAACUGGGUGUGAGCCCAGAUACGGUGUGUGUAGUUUUAUGUAAUCGUAAUAAUACUUUUGAAGCGUAUGUCAAGUGGAAUUUUGUGAAGUAUCGUGUGUGUGCCCUUCACGGAUUGAAUUAAGUGUACAAAUUUUUCUGAAGAAAAGUGAAGUGUUUGCUGCGCAAAAUACUUUCUUAUUGUUAUGCUCAGUUAACAAGUGACCAGUGUCCUCAUUGGAUUGUAAACUUUACUGGAUUAAAACAUUCCCAUGGCAACUGUGGUGGAAAUUAAAAAGUGGGAGACAUGAACGCAUCCCCGCAUAGUCAUUCGCAUCAAGCAGGGUAGCUGUUAUAAGGUAAGUAGAUGUACCUUUUCUCCUUCUUUGUCCCUAUCUCUUCGAAGUUGACACGUAGGCGCGUAUAAUGCUACAAAAUAUCAAAUAUACUAAAAACUACCUCACCUUGUGACUUACAAAGAAGGGUAAAGACAAGAUGAAAAUUUU